GACGAACGCUGGCGGCGUGCUUAACACAUGCAAGUCGAACGGAAAGGCCCUGCUUUUGUGGGGUGCUCGAGUGGCGAACGGGUGAGUAACACGUGAGUAACCUGCCCUUGACUGUGGGAUAACUUCAGGAAACUGGGGCUAAUACCGGAUAGGAGCUCCUGCUGCAUGGGGGGGGUUGGAAAGUUUCGGCGGUUGGGGAUGGACUCGCGGCUUAUCAGCUUGUUGGUGGGGUAGUGGCUUACCAAGGCUUUGACGGGUAGCCGGCCUGAGAGGGUGACCGGCCACAUUGGGACUGAGGUACGGCCCAGACUCCUACGGGAGGCAGCAGUGGGGAAUAUUGCACAAUGGGCGGAAGCCUGAUGCAGCAACGCCGCGUGCGGGAUGACGGCCUUCGGGUUGUAAACCGCUUUCGCCUGUGACGAAGCGUGAGUGACGGUAAUGGGUAAAGAAGCACCGGCUAACUACGUG
rnacentral:rRNA from 1 species